rnacentral:rRNA from 1 species
AUGGGAACGCGAAGAACCUUACCUAGACUUGACAUCUCCUGAAUAGUGUAGAGAUACAUGAAGCCCUUCGGGGCAGGAAGACAGGUGGCGCAUGGUUGUCGUCAGCUCGUGUCGUGAGAUGUUGGGUUAAGUCCCGCAACGAGCGCAACCCUUAUUACUAGUUGCUACCAUUAAGUUGAGCACUCUAGUGAGACUGCCCGGGUUAACCGGGAGGAAGGCGGGGACGACGUCAAAUCAUCAUGCCCCUUAUGUCUAGGGCAACACACGUGCUACAAUGGUGAGUACAGAUAGAUGCGAUACCGCAAGGUGAGCCAAACUCUAAAACUCAUCCCAGUUCGGAUUGUAGGCUGCAACUCGCCUACAUGAAGUUGGAGUUGCUAGUAAUCGCGAAUCAGAAUGUCGCGGUGAAUACGUU